GACGAACGCUGGCGGCGCGCCUAACACAUGCAAGUCGAACGGAGUCAAGAGGAGCUUGCUUUUCUUGACUUAGUGGCGAACGGGUGAGUAACGCGUGAGUAACCUGCCCUGGAGUGGGGGACAACAGUUGGAAACGACUGCUAAUACCGCAUAAGCCCACGGAUCCGCAUGGAUCUGCGGGAAAAGGAUUUAUUCGCUUCAGGAUGGACUCGCGUCCAAUUAGCUAGUUGGUGAGGUAACGGCCCACCAAGGCGACGAUUGGUAGCCGGACUGAGAGGUUGAACGGCCACAUUGGGACUGAGACACGGCCCAGACUCCUACGGGAGGCAGCAGUGGGGGAUAUUGCACAAUGGGGGAAACCCUGAUGCAGCGACGCCGCGUGGAGGAAGAAGGUUUUCGGAUUGUAAACUCCUGUCGUUAGGGACGAUAAUGACGGUACCUAACAAGGAAGCACCGGCUAACUACGUG
rnacentral:rRNA from 1 species